GGGGUUGUAGCUCAAGGGUAGAGCGCUCACCUAGCAUAUGUGAGGCACUGAGUUCAAUCCCCAGCACCACA
rnacentral:tRNA from 1 species